rnacentral:rRNA from 1 species
GACGUUGGCGGCGUGGAUUAGGCAUGCAAGUCGAGCGAGAAGGUUCCUUCGGGAACUGGACAGCGGCGAAAGGGAGAGUAACGCGUAGAUAUCUGCCUCGAGGCCCGGGAUAGCGGCGGGAAACUGCCGGUAAUACCGGAUAACAUCUCCGGAUCAAAGGUGUGAUUCCGCCUCGAGAUGAGUCUGCGUCCUAUUAAUGCUUGUUGGUGUGGUAACGGCGCACCAAGGCGAAGAUGGGUACCGGGUGUGAGAGCAUGGCCCGGCUCACUGGGACUGAGACACUGCCCAGACACCUACGGGUGGCUGCAGUCGAGAAUCUUCGGCAAUGGGCGAAAGCCUGACCGAGCGACGCCGCGUGCGGGAUGAAGGCCCUCGGGUUGUAAACCGCUGUCAGUAGGGAGCAAAUCUCUUGGGGUUAUCCCCUUGAGUUGAGCGAUCUUCAGAGGAAGUACGGGCUAAGUUCGUGCCAGCAGCCGCGGUAAGACGAACCGUACGAACGUUAUUCGGAAUCACUGGGCUUAAAGAGUCCGUAGGCGGCCGUGUAGGUGGGAUGUGAAAGCCCUCGUCUCAACCGAGGAAUUGCGUUCCAAACCACAUGGCUUGAGGAGGAUAGAGGUGAGCGGAACUGAUGGUGGAGCGGUGAAAUGCGUUGAUAUCAUCAGGAACACCAGAGGCGAAGGCGGCUCACUGGGUCCUUUCUGACGCUGAGGGACGAAAGCUAGGGGAGCAAACGGGAUUAGAUACCCCGGUAGUCCUAGCUGUAAACGAUGAGCACUAGAUCGAGGGGACUUCCACAUCUUCUCGGUCGUAGCGAAAGUGUUAAGUGCUCCGCCUGGGGAGUAUGUCGCAAGGCUGAACUCAUAAUAGAUGCG